UGGAUCCUACGGGGGGCAGCAGUGAGGAAUAUUGGUCAAUGGGCGCAAGCCUGAACCAGCCAAGUCGCGUGAGGGAUGACGGUCCUAUGGAUUGUAAACCUCUUUUGUCGGGGAGCAAGGCCCGCCACGUGUGGCGGGAAGGAGAGCACCCGCAGAAAAAGCAUCGGCUAACUCCGUGCCAGCAGCCGCGGUAAUACGGAGGAUGCGAGCGUUAUCCGGAUUUAUUGGGUUUAAAGGGUGCGUAGGCGGAAGGUUAAGUCAGCGUGCACAUGUCGGUGCUUAACACCGGC
rnacentral:rRNA from 1 species